GUGAGGAAUAUUGGUCAAUGGGCGAGAGCCUGAACCAGCCAAAUCGCGUGAAGGAUGAAGGUAUUAUGUAUUGUAAACUUCUUUUAUCGGGGAAUAAAGUGCGGGACGUGUCCCGUUUUGUAUGUACCCGAAGAAUAAGGAUCGGCUAACUCCGUGCCAGCAGCCGCGGUAAUACGGAGGAUCCAAGCGUUAUCCGGAUUUAUUGGGUUUAAAGGGUGCGUAGGCGGACUGUCAAGUCAGCGGUGAAAGUCCAUGGCUCAACCAUGGAAUUGCCGUUGAAACUGUCGGUCUUGAGUGUAGAUGAGGUAGGCGGAAUUCGUAGUGUAGCGGUGAAAUGCUUAGAUAUUACGAAGAACUCCAAUUGCGUAGGCAGCUUACCAGGCUACAACUGACGCUGAGGCACGAAGGUGCGGGGAUCAAACAGGAUUAGAAACCCGGGUAGUCC
rnacentral:rRNA from 1 species